UAAUAUAUUUUAAAUGUGCUAAAAUUGGAUUCAACAGCAAAAGUCGCAUAAAUAACAUAUAAAUAACGAAUUUGUUUACCUAUUACAAAUGGGGUUAUGUGGUUGUAACUGUUUAUUUUGGGAAUAAAAUGAAAAUGAUCAAUUAAACGACUGGAAAACUAUAGUAAAGUGAAGAACAUCUUGAAGUUCCAAUGAUGUUUCAAGAUGAGAUAAAUCGAAAUAAUGGUUGUAUGUUAGAAGGACAGAGAAUACGAAGAAAUGUUAUUGCUGCAUACUUAGUGUAGUGAAAUACAAACUUCAAACAUUAUAAUAUAUUUUUUUAUUUCAAACAUUUCAUAUGAUUAUGAAAGAACAUCUUCCUCUUUAAAACAAUGAAGAAGUGAAGAACAUAAUAAAGUUCCAACGAAAAUGAUUCCAGAUGAGGAAAAUCGAAAUAAUGGUUGUAUGUUACGUGUAUAGAGAAUACGAAGAAAUGUUAUUGCUGCAAACUUAGUGUAGUGAAUUAAAAACUUAUUGUCAAAUACAAAUCAAUUUAUUUCAUACUUUUAUAAUAUAUAGUGGUACAAUUUUAUAUGUGUUCAAAUAAAAAUAUUAAUAAAUAAAAUACAAUAAACACAAA